AUCUAGCUUACCAGUUCCAAACAGGACGAAACUCAUGUCCUGGAU
rnacentral:hammerhead_ribozyme from 1 species